rnacentral:rRNA from 1 species
UACGUAGGGUCCGAGCGUUGUCCGGAAUGAUUGGGCGUAAAGGGCUCGUAGGCGGUUUGUCGCGUCGGGCGUGAAAACACGGGGCUUAACCCCGUGCCUGCUUCCGAUACGGGCAGACUAGAGGUAUGCAGGGGAGAACGGAAUUCCUGGUGUAGCGGUGAAAUGCGCAGAUAUCAGGAGGAACACCGGUGGCGAAGGCGGUUCUCUGGGACGGUACUGACGCUGAGACGCGAAAGCGUGGGGAGCGAACAGG